UCCGAUAUGGUCUAGUGGCUAGGAUUUGCCGCUCUCAUCGCAGAGUAAGCUCGCAGCCUCACAGCAGCGCAGUGCCGGCAAGGCCCGGGUUCGAUUCCCGGUGUCGGAA